rnacentral:lncRNA from 1 species
CCAGCAGCAGCCAAGGAAUCGAUAGCCUUUAAAUAAGUAAUUAGGGGAGCCGAAGACGUCGGCACAUCCAGGAGUGAGCAGGGGAACAUAAAUUCAUGACUCCCAGGCUCACUGGGCAAGGGCCUGGUUCUGUUUCUCGGUCAAGAAAUGUGACAGCGCCUGGGGGCAAUGAUGGUGGAGGAACAGGGAGCCAGUGUUGUAGAGUCUGUUUUCACUUUCCUGUCCUCUGUUUCUGGUGGCUUUUAGGAUAAGGAUCAAAAUCUUCUCCCAACCUAGAGAGGUAAAUCUGGAGCUGAAGCUGGCUCCGGUACAAUGUCAGCUUGUUUAUUCACUGGUUGUGUGACCUGAGACACACACCCUCUCUGUGCUCAGUUUCCCUAGCUGUAAAACGCCCCACCCCCACCCCCCAGCCCCCAAAUAAGGUCAUCAUGAGGUUUACAGACGUUCGUACCACAUGCAAAGCAUGCAGAGCAGUGUGGGCCGUGGUUAGCAUCCAGGGGCCUUUGUGACUAAGUCCCAACCCGAGGCUACAGCCUCACGGGUGUUACGCUCCCCAAGAAAGGGGUGAAGGGCCAUCGCAGGUGCCCGGGAAGCAAUCAUCUGCCGUUUUUCCCGUCCUCCUGCACCACCAUCACCCCCCCACCACCACCAGCCCCGCAGAAGUCGCAGAAAACAGCCAACAAGGGUGGCCGUUGAGUCCCACGGGGAUCACAAGGUUAUAAGAACAAAGGCUGCCACUUCCUCUCUCCCUGCGGUGCUGCCUGUGUGUGGACACCAUCUGAUGAGAAUGUAAUUCCUUUUAUGAUCCAGGAAGGUAUAAAAACGCAUAUAAACAACCACAUGUCAUCACUGGAGUUGGCCAUCACAUUUUUAUUGGUCUACAGCGUGUGUUUUUGUUAGCCUGACGUCUGUUAGAAACCAGGUUCUGAAACACUGUCCUCGUUUGGGUGCUGGAGACAAAUAGUAUCCAGAAGCCAUUCCCAGGCCUGGUCUCAGGGAAACAGUCCCCAGAGCAGGAGGGUGUGUGUGUGUGUGUGUGUGCAUGUGCAUGCGCGUGCACGCUUACUCCUCCCUGGAGGUUCCCUGGUCCAGGCUCAGUGGAGGAAUCGGAGGCCCAGGGCAGGGCAGUGCUCUGUCCAGGAUCAUGGGACUGCUUGGUUUAGCACCAUUUUCUGAGCAUGUCAGGGAGCCCCAGCUGCUGCCGGAGCCAGCCCCCCAGUCUCGGGGGUGCCACGGAGCUGUCCUUCUAGCUUGUGUGGCAGAGAGCAUGGUGGAUGAUGGGUGGAUGGGCCUCCCUGCUUCGUGUGGCUCCACCCUCCCCUAAAGCCUCAGAAUCUUCUGCUUCCAGCUGAAUGGGGAAAGGAUCCGGAGGCUCGCAAGGUUUUAUGGAUUUUUAUGGAGAUGUUUGGGUAGGGCCUGGAAGUGGCUCAGCCACAUCUGUCCACAUCCCUCAGCGGAUCACUAGGUCAGGGUCGAUACCAAACUGCAAGGGAGGCUAGGAAAUGUAGCCCAGCUGGGUGCCUGCGAGGAAGACAAGGCAGACUGGUCUCAGUGCCCAGCCCCGAGCUGGAAGCUGCCUGGGCAGAGAUGCUGAGAUGGAGAUGCAGGCCCAUCAGUUUGAGGUUCCCAAUAAGGGCUGGUCUAGCACAUUAUCAAUCGCUAGAAGCCCAUGACUCCUCUCUAGAGAGACCUCACCCCAGGAUAAGCCUAAGCCUCCCGGGGUCCUUGCUACCUCGUGCCAAGUGGUGUCAGCCACCCUUGUUUCUAAAGGGUUGCAGAGAAGUGGGGAGGCUGGGUUCAUUUCCUGAAAGGCCCUAUUCUCUGCCUCAGGCCAGCAGAAUUUCCUUUCAGGGGGAGGCAGGGGCCUCUCUCCCCAGGGUUACCUGUCGCCUCACACCCCCACAGGGCUGGGCUCUCAACAAAACAGCCUGGAGGGAGGACCAGCACCUCAGUUCACACACACACACACACACACACACACACACACACUCACGCAUACACACAAAUGCGCCCAUGCACACACACAUCUCAGAACCAGCUAUAGCCGACAUCUGCCGCUUUGGUUAACGAGUAUCUGUUUGGGGGAUCCCAAGGUCUGUUUGGAGGACCCCCCUCCCACCACAGACACAGACUGCAGCACGUAUUCUGCACCCCCACCAACUAGAAUGUGGACAUGGGGCCUAAAGUGUGGCCAACUGGACACGCCCUCCUGGGACUUCCACUCCAUAGGGUGACACAGAGGCCUGGCACCCAUCAGACCUUUAAAGGGCGCUGCAGCUGAAGGGCACCUCUCCAGCUGCCAGCAGGGGCCAUGGUGACCAGCUGGCAGGUGGCGGGCUCUGGCGUGGCACCUUGGCUGGGCCUUCACGCUCGGGUUCCCGUCAAGCCUGUUUCUCCAGUCCCCUGUCAACUGCCUGCGACACCUGAAGCUCUCCCAGACGCCUCUUUCAGGUGAGCCCCGCCUCCUGCAGCCUUGGCCUUGCACCUGCUCACCCACCCCCUCCCGCCAAGGAUUUCCUUGGCUGCCGGCUUCAGCCGGGCUGUCCCAGACCCCAGGCAAGUCUGACAGCUUCCGCCCUCCAGGGAAAGGCCAGGGUUCCCACCUCUUUCCUCCAGGGGAUUCUGCAGCAAAUUUCAAAUUAAGUUGCGUUUUCACACUCCUGCAGAGUUCAGCGUUCUCAGGAGGGCUGUGGUAGAACCAAGGUAAUUGGCAUUCUUAGUAAUCCCAUGUGCACCUCAAAGCAUUCUUCUGAAAAGAAGCCCACCCUCCACUUGAUGCCCAAGGGGUCCAGGACAGCAGGACCCCUCUGGAUUGUAGCCCCCAGGCUGUUGGUGCCAGGAUUCCUUACUCAACAACAUGGGCCCUUUGCCUGAUGACAGCCCCCCUGGCUUGACCCAUCCUCCCUUCACUGUUUCUUCCGGAAAAAGAUCCCUACUUUCUUUGGGGGGCCAGCUCCUCUCUCCACCCUACAGAAGUAGGUGGGCCCUGUAGGAGUUUUCACAUUGUCACAUGCCCUCACUCUCUCAGUUCAGCCAAUUCAGGAGGAGUGGGCUCCUGACCCAAACCUGGCCAAUCAGCUCCUUCUCUGUGGUGGUGGUGGUUGUUGUUUUAAACUGGAACUAGGAGUUCCCAUUGCGGCUCAGAGGAUUAAGAACUCGACAUAGUGUCUAUGAGGACACAGGUGUGAUCCCUGGCCUCACUCAGUGGGUUAAGGAUCCAGUGUUGCUGUGAGCUGCGCUGUAGGCCACAGCUGUGGCUCGGAGCUGGCAUUCCUGAGGCUGUGGCAUAGGCUGGCAGUUGUAGCUCCAAUUUGAUCCCUGGCCCAGGCACUUCCAUAUGCCACAGGUGUGGCCGUAAAAAGAAAAAAGAAAAAGAAAAA